AUUGAACGCUGGCGGCAGGCCUAACACAUGCAAGUCGAGCGGAAACGAUGGAAGCUUGCUUCCAGGCGUCGAGCGGCGGACGGGUGAGUAAUGCAUGGGAAUCUGCCCGAUAGUGGGGGAUAACCUGGGGAAACCCAGGCUAAUACCGCAUACGUCCUACGGGAGAAAGCAGGGGAUCUUCGGACCUUGCGCUAUCGGAUGAGCCCAUGUCGGAUUAGCUUGUUGGUGAGGUAAUGGCUCACCAAGGCGACGAUCCGUAGCUGGUCUGAGAGGAUGAUCAGCCACAUCGGGACUGAGACACGGCCCGAACUCCUACGGGAGGCAGCAGUGGGGAAUAUUGGACAAUGGGCGAAAGCCUGAUCCAGCCAUGCCGCGUGUGUGAAGAAGGCCCUCGGGUUGUAAAGCACUUUCAGUGGGGAAGAAGGCCUCGGGAUUAAUACUUCCGAGGAAGGACAUCACCCACAGAAGAAGCACCGGCUAACUCCGUGCCAGCAGCCGCGGUAAUACGGAGGGUGCGAGCGUUAAUCGGAAUUACUGGGCGUAAAGCGCGCGUAGGCGGUCUGAUCAGCCGGUUGUGAAAGCCCCGGGCUCAACCUGGGAACGGCAUCCGGAACUGUCAGGCUAGAGUGCAGGAGAGGAAGGUAGAAUUCCCGGUGUAGCGGUGAAAUGCGUAGAGAUCGGGAGGAAUACCAGUGGCGAAGGCGGCCUUCUGGACUGACACUGACGCUGAGGUGCGAAAGCGUGGGUAGCAAACA
rnacentral:rRNA from 1 species